CGUUAAGUCAGAUGUGAAAGACCCGGGGCGUUAACCUCGGAAUUGCAUUUGUAAACUAGGCAGGCGUAGAGUCUUGUAGAGGGGGGUAGGAAGUUUACAGGUGUAGCGGUGAAAUAGCGUAGAGAUCUGAAGGAAUACCAGUGGCGAAGGCGGCCCCCUCGGACAAAGACUGACGCUCAGAUGCGAAAGCGUGGGGAGCAAACAGGAUUAGAUACCCUGGUAG
rnacentral:rRNA from 1 species